AAUGAAUGCUGGCGACAGGCCGAACACAUGCAAGUCGAACGAGUGGCGGACGGGUGAGUAAUGUGUGGGAGACUGCCUGAUGGAGGGGGAUAACUACUGGAACAGGUAGCUAAUACCGCGUACCAUCGGAUGUGCCACGAUGGGAUGAGCGUGUGGGGGAGGUAACGGCUCACCUAGGCGACGAUCCCUAGCUGGUCUGAGAGGAUGACCAGCCACACUGGAACUGAGACACGGUCCAGAAUCCUGCGGGAGGCAGCAGUGGGGAAUAUUGUGCAAUUGGCGAAAUCCUGAUCCAGCCAUGCCGCGUGUGUGAAGAAGGUCUUCGGAUUGAAAAGCACUUUAAGGUGGGAGGCGUUACCAACAGAAUAAGCACCGGCUAACUUCGUGCCAGCAGCCGCGGUAAUUC
rnacentral:rRNA from 1 species